rnacentral:rRNA from 1 species
AGCGAACGCUGGCGGCAGGCCUAAUACAUGCAAGUCGAACGGAUCCUUCGGGAUUAGUGGCGGACGGGUGAGUAACACGUGGGAACGUGCCCUUUGGUUCGGAACAACUCAGGGAAACUUGAGCUAAUACCGGAUAAGCCCUUCGGGGAAGGAUUUAUCGCCAUUGGAGCGGCCCGCGUCUGAUUAGCUAGUUGGUGGGGUAAAGGCCUACCAAGGCGACGAUCAGUAGCUGGUCUGAGAGGAUGAUCAGCCACACUGGGACUGAGACACGGCCCAGACUCCUACGGGAGGCAGCAGUAGGGAAUCUUGCGCAAUGGGCGAAAGCCUGACGCAGCCAUGCCGCGUGAAUGAUGAAGGUCUUAGGAUUGUAAAAUUCUUUCAGCGGGGACGAUAAUGACGGUACCCGCAGAAGAAG